rnacentral:lncRNA from 1 species
AAAAGACUAAACUCUGUUUUUUAAAAAGUUAAAAUUAAUUUGUACAAAAAAUCCUAUCACACCCCCAUCUAUUUUUGUAAACAAACAUAGCCAUUUUAAUAAACAUAUCCCUAGCCCUAGUGUUUUUAAUAUCUCCACCUUGCUAGCAGUCUCUCAUCGGAACCUUGUGAAAAUAUAAACACCUCCUGUGGAAAUAAAACUUGCUUUUC